GACGAACGCUGGCGGCGUGCUUAACACAUGCAAGUCGAACGGAAAGGCCCUGCUCUUGUGGGGUGCUCGAGUGGCGAACGGGUGAGUAACACGUGAGUAACCUGCCCUUGACUUUGGGAUAACUUCAGGAAACUGGGGCUAAUACCGGAUAGGAGCUCCUGCUGCAUGGUGGGGGAUGGAAAGUUUCGGCGGUGGGGGAUGGACUCGCGGCUUAUCAGCUUGUUGGUGAGGUAGUGGCUUACCAAGGCUUUGACGGGUAGCCGGCGUGAGAGGGUGACCGGCCACAUUGGGACUGCGAGAGGGCGCAGACUCCUACGGGAGGCAGCAGUGGAGAAUAUUGCACAAUGGGCGGACGCCUGAGGCAGCAGCGCCGUGUGCGGGAUGACGGCCUACGGGUUGUAAACCGCUUUGUACUGUGACGAAGCGUGAUUGACGGUACUGGGUAAAGAAGCACCGGCUAACUACGUG
rnacentral:rRNA from 1 species